rnacentral:rRNA from 1 species
AGUGAACGCUGGCGGUAUGCCUAACACAUGCAAGUCGAACGGCAGCACAGUAAGAUCUUGCUCUUACGGGUGGCGAGUGGCGGACGGGUGAGGAAUACAUCGGAAUCUACUUUUUCGUGGGGGAUAACGUAGGGAAACUUACGCUAAUACCGCAUACGACCUACGGGUGAAAGCAGGGGAUCUUCGCACCUUGCGCGAUUGAAUUAGCCGAUGUCGGAUUAGCUAGUUGGCGGGGUAAAGGCCCACCAAGGCGACGAUCCGUAGCUGGUCUGAGAGGAUGAUCAGCCACACUGGAACUGAGACACGGUCCAGACUCCUACGGGAGGCAGCAGUGGGGAAUAUUGGACAAUGGGCGCAAGCCUGAUCCAGCAAUACCGCGUGGGUGAAGAAGGCCUUCGGGUUGUAAAGCCCUUUUGUUGGGAAAGAAAAGCAGCAGGUUAAUACCCCGCUGUUCUGACGGUACCCAAAGAAUAAGCACCGGCUAACUUCGUG